CUUUAGGGUUUGCCUCAGCCCUCCACCGCCGCUUGCUCUACUUUGACGCUUCGCCAUUCCUGCUCAGAGGUAUUCCUUUAUCUAACACCGCAACGCCACACAUUUUCAAUGGAUUUCUAUUCUCUUUUUGAGGAUUCGGAUGGGAGGACCAUUAGUUCGCCUGCUGCUUCAGAAUUUGACUUUGUCAAUGUAAUGUUGUCAAUAGGGAUAUGUGACUUAGGAAAAGCAUACCACAGGUCGCGAUGAACGGAACCUAGUGGUUUGCAGCGACGAUGGCAGUGAUACAAAUGAAGAUUUUCACACACCGCUUGGGGAUUUCGACGACCUUCAGGAUGCGCAACCACUCCAUGGUGUGCCGGCCCCUGUAAGCCACCCGUUCGACACGGGGGAGCCCAAGGGAGCUUGUACGACUUGUCGCUUUUACUCACGUCACGCCAGAGGCAGGAUGUGUGUGCGAUGGGCAUGGGAGGGCUGUUGGGAUUGCGGGUUCAUGUACUACUGCUGCGGCUUGGGCAUUGGUUGCUCACCAAUUUUGACCCCUCGGAAAUGAAGAUAAACUUAAGCCAUGGGAGAUCCAUCAGCAUCACGAAGGAAGACGUGGCAGCGGUGCUUGGGCUCUCGAAUGGGGUGAUUCCGAUCACAGAGCGUGAUAGCCAAGUUAUAAACCCUGACUUGCAGUCGUGGAGGAUUAAAGUUAAAAAACGGGAAGGCAAUAUCACCGUUAAGGCACUUACUACGCAGCUCUUAGAGCUAAAAGAUGUCGGUGUGUGGUUUAAGAGGCAUUUCUGUGUGGUAGUGGUUAGUACCUUGAUCGCUAGCACCCUCAAUGGCUAUGCGAACCAGAGAACCGUGCAUAUGUUCCGUGACGUUGCCAAGGUUAGAGAGUUGGAUUGAUGUGGGUACCUCUUGCGAACACUGGUCAGUACGCACGCAAGCUGGAUGCAGCGCUCUACGGGGAAAUUCCUAGGCCCGUUGUUGUUCCUGAUUCUUUUAUAUGUUGAUAGGGUGGUCGUCGGGGCAAGGGAUGUACCGAGAACCACGCCAGCGCUGCAUGGGUGGACGCCAAGUUGCGCAGGCCACGCUUCUAUGUGAUGUGCAUCAGUUUUAAGCAUUCCAAGUUCGUCAUCAUGGACAGCUCAUCCACCGCAGACAUGACCACAGAAGGGUACGGGGGAGCACCAGAGGAAUUGAGGGACCUUCUAGCCGCGUAUUUGGAUAGCAAACAACACACUGUUCGUGCGCUCCGAUUGAGGGACAUGCAACCAGAGAGGAUGCGGCUGGCAUGGAGUGACACCGCUGCUAACGGGGACUCUGGAGUGUAUGCAAUGAGACACAUGGAGACAUUUGUUGGCAAUGAGGCAACUAGUUGGGGGUGUGGGCUUCGGACGGGAGAUCACUUGGUAUUCGUUUGGUUCUGUUGCGGUCUAACUCCCCCACUCGUGUGCGAAUACUUUGUAUGUUGUCAUUCACUGUACUAAGCAGGAUGUUGUGCAUGAGCCAUCUCCUCAUGUUCCCAUGCACAAGUGAAUGACAACAUGCAAAGUAUUCGCACACGAGCGGGGGAGUAUGACCGCAACAGGACCGAACGGAUAUGCAAAGGUGCACCACACCGACCUCAGUGAUUUGAACACUGACUACAACGGAAAUAUGUAGGGAGCAUGGUA